rnacentral:rRNA from 1 species
UACGAAGGGGGCUAGCGUUGCUCGGAAUCACUGGGCGUAAAGGGUGCGUAGGCGGGUCUUUAAGUCAGAGGGGAAAUCCUGGAGCUCAACUCCAGAACUGCCUUUGAUACUGCAAGUCUCGAGUCCGAUAGAGGUGAGUGGAAUUCCUAGUGUAGAGGUGAAAUUCGUAGAUAUUAGGAAGAACACCAGUGGCGAAGGCGGCUCACUGGAUCGGUACUGACGCUGAGGUGCGAAAGCGUGGGGAGCAAACAGG